rnacentral:rRNA from 1 species
UACAGAGGUCUCAAGCGUUGUUCGGAUUCAUUGGGCGUAAAGGGUGCGUAGGCGGCAAGGCAAGUCAGGUGUGAAAUCCCGGAGCUCAACUCCGGAACUGCACUUGAUACUGCCCUGCUAGAGUACUGGAGAGGAGACUGGAAUUUACGGUGUAGCAGUGAAAUGCGUAGAUAUCGUAAGGAAGACCAGUGGCGAAGGCGAGUCUCUGGACAGUUACUGACGCUGAAGCACGAAGGCCAGGGGAGCAAACGGG